UACGAAGGGGGCUAGCGUUGCUCGGAAUUAUUGGGCGUAAAGCGCUUGUAGGCGGCACGUCAAGUCGCGUGUGAAAUCCCCAGGCUUAACCUGGGAAGUGCGCGCGAAACUGACGAGCUUGAGUGCCGGAGAGGGUCGCGGAAUUCCCGGUGUAGAGGUGAAAUUCGUAGAUAUCGGGAGGAACACCAGUGGCGAAAGCGGCUCACUGGACCACAACUGACGCUGAGGCGCGAAAGCUAGGGGAGCAAACAGG
rnacentral:rRNA from 1 species